AGUGGUGAGGUUGCAGCAGUGCUACAGACCAGUGAAUACAAGUCUGUAAAUGUGACUUUUAAAGGAAAGAAGCCCAGCUCCAGUAAUACAACCCUUUUGUCAAAGCUUAUAGAAUGCUUAGAAGCCAGAUUUCCACCUGGAAGAUCUGCUGUCAUUGAUGCCUCAUGCAUAAGCAGUUUUUAUAAUUGGCCUACAUCAGGAUCUGAUAGCAUCAAAGCGUAGGGAGUGGCAGAGCUGACAGUCAUACACAAUCACUUUCAAGAUCUGCUGCCAGACCUUGCUGUCAUAUUACAGGAGUGGUCCCUUCUUAAGGCCCUUCUUUACAAGAGAUAUGGACAACAACUUGCCUCUGUUGCCUGGGAAGACGCCCUUCAAGGAUUUAAAUCACAAGACUUGGAUGCGAUAUAUACAACACUUGAUCUUGUAAGAUCACUGCCACCCACAUCAGUGAGGAACGAAGCAACAUUCAGUGCCAUGAAAUUGACAAAAUCAAAAAGAAGGGGUCGGUUAAAUGCAUCCACUUUAAAUGACUUGCUGCUGAUUCACCUGGAAUCCCCUGCGAUUGAAGAUUUUAAUCCUGAUGAAGCUAUCAAGGAUUGGCUGGUCACGCCAUCUAGAAGGAGCAGAAGGUUGGGGUAUAAGAGAGAUACAGUGAAGACAACUGUUACAGCUACAGAUCCUUUUCCUUCCACUUCAACAGUGAGCAAUGUCAGUGAAACUGAGGUACCUUCUACUUCAACAGUGAGCAAUGUCAG